rnacentral:tRNA from 1 species
ACGGGCGUAUCUCAAUCUGGUAGAGCACCGGCUUCCAAACCCGACGGUUGUGGGUUCGAUUCCUGCCGCCCGUGC